rnacentral:rRNA from 1 species
UUGGAGGGCAAGUCUGGUGCCAGCAGCCGCGGUAAUUCCAGCUCCAAUAGCGUAUAUUAAAGUUGUUGCAGUUAAAAAGCUCGUAGUUGAAUUUCGGGGUCAAUAGGUUGGUCGUGCCAAUGGUAUGUACUGGCUUUAUUGAUUCCUACCUCUUGACGAACUGUGAUGCCAUUAAUUUGGUGUUGCAGGAAAUCAGGACUGUUACCUUGAAAAAAUUAGAGUGUUUAAAGCAGGC